rnacentral:rRNA from 1 species
AUUGAACGCUGGCGGCAGGCCUAACACAUGCAAGUCGAACGAGUGGCGGACGGGUGAGUAAUGUCUGGGAAACUGCCCGAUGGAGGGGGAUAACUACUGGAAACGGUAGCUAAUACCGCAUACCAUCGGAUGUGCCCAGAUGGGAUUAGCUAGUAGGGGGGGUAACGGCUCACCUAGGCGACGAUCCCUAGCUGGGCUGAGAGGAUGACCAGCCACACUGGAACGGAGACACGGUCCAGACUCCUACGGGAGGCAGCAGUGGGGAAUAUGGGAAAAGGGGCGAAGGCCUGAUGCGGCAAUGCGGGGGGGAUGAAAAAGGCCUUCGGGUUGUAAAGUACUUUCAGCGAGGAGGCGGUACUCGCAGAAGAAGCACCGGCUAACUCCGUGCCAGCAGCCGCGGUAAUAC